rnacentral:Y_RNA from 1 species
GGCUGGUCCAAGUGCAGUGGUGUUUACAACUAAUUGAUCACAACCAGUUACAGAUUUUGUUCCUUCUCCACUCCCACUGCUUCACUUGACUAGCCUUUA